rnacentral:rRNA from 1 species
UACAGAGGUCCCAAGCGUUGUUCGGAUUCAUUGGGCGUAAAGGGUGCGUAGGCGGCGCGGUAAGUCGGGUGUGAAAUCUUGGAGCUUAACUCCGAAACUGCAUUCGAUACUGCCGUGCUUGAGGACUGGAGAGGAGACUGGAAUUUACGGUGUAGCGGUGAAAUGCGUAGAUAUCGUAAGGAAGACCAGUGGCGAAGGCGGGGUCUCUGGACAGUUCCUGACGCUGAGGCACGAAGGCCAGGGGAGCAAACGGG